rnacentral:rRNA from 1 species
CAAGUCGAACGGAAAGGCCCUGCUUGCAGGGUACUCGAGUGGCGAACGGGUGAGUAACACGUGGGUGAUCUGCCCUGCACUUCGGGAUAAGCUUGGGAAACUGGGUCUAAUACCGGAUAGGAACCAUCUUUAGUGUGGUGGUUGGAAAGUUUUUUCGGUGUAGGAUGAGCUCGCGGCCUAUCAGCUUGUUGGUGGGGUAAUGGCCUACCAAGGCGGCGACGGGUAGCCGGCCUGAGAGGGUGUACGGCCACAUUGGGACUGAGAUACGGCCCAGACUCCUACGGGAGGCAGCAGUGGGGAAUAUUGCACAAUGGGCGCAAGCCUGAUGCAGCGACGCCGCGUGGGGGAUGAAGGCCUUCGGGUUGUAAACUCCUUUCGCUAGGGACGAAGCUUUUUGGUGACGGUACCUAGAUAAGAAGCACCGGCUAACUACGUGCCAGCAGCCGCGGUAAUACGUAGGGUGCGAGCGUUGUCCGGAAUUACUGGGCGUAAAGGGCUCGUAGGUGGUUUGUCGCGUCGUCUGUGAAAUUCUGGGGCUUAACUCCGGGCGUGCAGGCGAUACGGGCAUAACUUGAGUGCUGUAGGGGUAACUGGAAUUCCUGGUGUAGCGGUGAAAUGCGCAGAUAUCAGGAGGAACACCGAUGGCGAAGGCAGGUUACUGGGCAGUUACUGACGCUGAGGAGCGAAAGCA